GCCCGGCUAGCUCAGUCAGUAGAGCAUGAGACUCUUAAUCUCAGGGUCUUGGGUUCAAGCCCCAUGUUGGGCG
rnacentral:tRNA from 1 species